rnacentral:rRNA from 1 species
CCUACGGGAGGCAGCAGUGGGGAAUAUUGCACAAUGGGGGAAACCCUGAUGCAGCAACGCCGCGUGAGUGAGGAAGUAUUUCGGUAUGUAAAGCUCUAUCAGCGGGGAAUAGGAAAGAAGGUUCCUGAAAAAGAAGCCCCGGCUAACUACGUGACAGCAGCCGCGGUAAUACGUAGGGUGCAAGCGUUAUCCGGAUUUACUGGGGGGAAAGGGGGCGCAGACGGAAAGACAAGUCAGAAGUGAAAGCCCACGGCUCAACCAUGGGACUGCUUUUGAAACUAUAAAACUAGAGUACGGGAGAGGUAAGAGGAAUUCCUAGUGUAGCGGUGAAAUGCGUAGAUAUUAGGAGGAACACCAGUGGCGAAGGCGUAUUACUGGACGGAAACUGACGUUGAGGCUCGAAAGCGUGGGGAGCAAACAGGAUUAGAUACCCUUGUAGUC